CUUUCGCUGCGCGCAACUCCCAGCAAAGUCUGCGCUGCGCCGCUGGAGCUUUGGCGACGCCAUGCAGCCCAGCUCGGGGCCUGCCGUGCUGGUCACCACCAGACCUCUUCAAAACACCCACACAGGGAUCGAUCUGUCCGUUCCAGAGUACCAGGAAAUCCGGGGGAAGAUGAUGUCAGGCCAUGUGGAAUAUAAUAUUGUUGCCGUGACGCAGCUGCCUGCUUUCAAAUCAGCAAAGCACAAGCCAGAAGACAUCAUUCAGUUUAUGGUCUCAAAGAAGUACAGCGAGAUUGAGGAGUUUUAUCAGAAGCUGGCCACACGUUACCCACAAUCCUCUCUGCCACCGCUGCCAAGGAAAGUGCUGUUUGUUGGGGAGUUUGACAUCCGGGAACGGAGAGCUGCGUUUAAUGAGAUCAUGAGAUCCAUUUCCAAAGACACAGAUCUAGCAACAAGUCCCGAGUUAAUGGAAUUCCUAGGAACCAGAUCCACCAGCGCCACGGACAUCAAAAGUAAAAACCUCCCCGAUGCGGAAGACAAGGACGACGAAAACGAAGCCUUUGAUUUCUUCAAAGAGGAAAGGACUCCUGACCCCGUUCCCCUGUUCAAAUCCUCGGAAGAGCAGGAUGUUAAAAAGAGAAAAGAGGAAGAGGAGGACGGGGAUGAUGAUGGAGACCCUCUUGGUGUUAUCAAAUCUAAAAAGACUAAGAAACCCAUGCCUCCUCCAGCCAAAGACGGGAAGCCCAAGUUAACGAUUUUUGACGAAGAAGCUGUUCCCGAUGAAGGACUGUUUGGCUCAGCUAAAGGGUUUUCAUUCAGCAGCAGCAAGAGGAUAUUGGCAGCCGAAAAAAAUCUGAAAUUGUUUGAAGAUCCAGACCUUGGUGGAUUGGUGACUCUGGGUGACUCGCUGCUGUUGCCAACAGCCUGUGCAAGCACGGAGCAUGCAUUAAGCGGUAGCCUUGAGGAGGACACUGAAGAACUCUUGAGAGUGGAAGAGGAUUUUGAGAAGAUGUGGAAACUAAGCUCCAAGCCCAAGCUACCACCUAAGCCAGCGUUACCAAAGAAGCCAGCAGUAACUGAUGCAAAACCCCCAUUCUCCUCAGCCCCCAAAACAAAGCCAACUGAAGUAAAGGCUCAGACCAUGGGCGAAGUUGAUAUCCUCCAGUACAUUCAAGAAAACGAAUCUACCAGCAGUGAAGAACCAAGCCUGUUCUGAAACACAGACUAUGCCAGACUUUUCUUCAGGAAGAACUUCCACCAGCCUUCUGCAUCUGGUUGGACAGAGCAGGCUUUGGCCCAGCACCCUCGGUUGACAGCUUGCCUGCUGGUUCAUUAUGGCAAAGAGAGCAGAUUUCCUGUGAUCCUUGGAUGAAGAGCGGUAUUGAAAUUUAAUUGGCAACAUCAUCAUCAUCAACAACAACUGGAGAGCCAAAGGUUCUGCACACCCGAACGAGAUGAUUGCUUCCAACUUGAUUCUGUAUUUUGAUAGUUCAAUUAGACAGCUGACGAAAGUGCUUUAAAAUUGUUUCUCUCUUUUUAUAUGAACCUAUCCUAUGUCUUUCUCAUUCUCUCUUGGGUAACUGAGGCCCACAAAACAAAUAUCACUUGAGGAGAAGUUAAGCCAUAUCAAGAGACUUGCCAAGCCAGUAAGCUUAUCUCUAUUGCCUUUUGAAUAUACACCUGAAUGAAUGGAGGGGGAAAUAUCGAAGCACUUUAAAUGAGUUGUGUUUAUAAUGUAUAAUGUUCAUCAUUCUGUUUUGAAUAAAAGUAUUAAGCACUAUGAAAAUUAAA